GGAAUAUUGGACAAUGGGCGCAAGCCUGAUCCAGCCAUGCCGCGUGCAGGAUGACGGUCCUAUGGAUUGUAAACUGCUUUUAUACGAGAAGAAACACUGGUUCGUGAACCAGCUUGACGGUAUCGUAAGAAUAAGGAUCGGCUAACUCCGUGCCAGCAGCCGCGGUAAUACGGAGGAUCCAAGCGUUAUCCGGAAUCAUUGGGUUUAAAGGGUCCGUAGGCGGUCAGAUAAGUCAGUGGUGAAAGCCCAUCGCUCAACGGUGGAACGGCCAUUGAUACUGUCUGACUUGAAUUAUUAGGAAGUAACUAGAAUAUGUAGUGUAGCGGUGAAAUGCUUAGAGAUUACAUGGAAUACCAAUUGCGAAGGCAGGUUACUACUAAUAUAUUGACGCUGAUGGACGAAAGCGUGGGUAGCGAACAGGAUUAGAUACCCGAG
rnacentral:rRNA from 1 species